rnacentral:rRNA from 1 species
GAUGAACGCUGGCGGCGUGCCUAAUACAUGCAAGUCGAGCGAACGGACGAGAAGCUUGCUUCUCUGAUGUUAGCGGCGGACGGGUGAGUAACACGUGGAUAACCUACCUAUAAGACUGGGAUAACUUCGGGAAACCGGAGCUAAUACCGGAUAAUAUUUUGAACCGCAUGGUUCAAAAGUGAAAGACGGUCUUGCUGUCACUUAUAGAUGGAUCCGCGCUGCAUUAGCUAGUUGGUAAGGUAACGGCUUACCAAGGCAACGAUGCAUAGCCGACCUGAGAGGGUGAUCGGCCACACUGGAACUGAGACACGGUCCAGACUCCUACGGGAGGCAGCAGUAGGGAAUCUUCCGCAAUGGGCGAAAGCCUGACGGAGCAACGCCGCGUGAGUGAUGAAGGUCUUCGGAUCGUAAAACUCUGUUAUUAGGGAAGAACAUAUGUGUAAGUAACUGUGCACAUCUUGACGGUACCUAAUCAGAAAGCCGCGGCUAACUACGUGCCAGCAGCCGCGGUAAUACGUAGGUGGCAAGCGUUAUCCGGAAUUAUUGGGCGUAAAGCGCGCGUAGGCGGUUUUUUAAGUCUGAUGUGAAAGCCCACGGCUCAACCGUGGAGGGUCAUUGGAAACUGGAAAACUUGAGUGCAGAAGAGGAAAGUGGAAUUCCAUGUGUAGCGGUGAAAUGCGCAGAGAUGUGGAGGAACACCAGUGGCGAAGGCGACUUUCUGGUCUGUAACUGACGCUGAUGUGCGAAAGCGUGGGGAUCAAACAGGAUUAGAUACCCUGGUAGUCCACGCCGUAAACGAUGAGUGCUAAGUGUUAGGGGGUUUCCGCCCCUUAGUGCUGCAGCUAACGCAUUAAGCACUCCGCCUGGGGAGUACGACCGCAAGGUUGAAACUCAAAGGAAUUGACGGGGACCCGCACAAGCGGUGGAGCAUGUGGUUUAAUUCGAAGCAACGCGAAGAACCUUACCAAAUCUUGACAUCCUUUGACAACUCUAGAGAUAGAGCUUUCCCCUUCGGGGGACAAAGUGACAGGUGGUGCAUGGUUGUCGUCAGCUCGUGUCGUGAGAUGUUGGGUUAAGUCCCGCAACGAGCGCAACCCUUAAGCUUAGUUGCCAUCAUUAAGUUGGGCACUCUAAGUUGACUGCCGGUGACAAACCGGAGGAAGGUGGGGAUGACGUCAAAUCAUCAUGCCCCUUAUGAUUUGGGCUACACACGUGCUACAAUGGACAAUACAAAGGGCAGCGAAACCGCGAGGUCAAGCAAAUCCCAUAAAGUUGUUCUCAGUUCGGAUUGUAGUCUGCAACUCGACUACAUGAAGCUGGAAUCGCUAGUAAUCGUAGAUCAGCAUGCUACGGUGAAUACGUUCCCGGGUCU